rnacentral:lncRNA from 1 species
UAAUUAAAUGAGUUAUCCAGGGUCACAGCUAGCAAGCAUCUGACACCAGAAGCCCUGGGCCACCUAGCUGCCUCAAUAAUUUACUUUACUAUCUUGGGUAAGGGGUUUAUUGGGAAACAACAGGAUGAGAAACUGAGGCCUUGAAAUGUUUUGAAGAGGAAAAGAUCAUUGGAAAGAUCUGGAAUAUGGGGAUGCAGCUCAAUUGAACA